ensembl:lncRNA
AUUUUUUCGAUCAUUGAUUCCAUGGCCAAAUUUCAACUGAUAUACAUUCUCAAUUAUAAUAAGUAAGCAUUAUAUUACAGUUAUCACAAGACUUGUCUGAAGGUCCCAUGGUACCAGUUGAAAGAAACGAACGGAGGUAUGGAGACUGUUUAGUGACAAGAAUAAGGGGUUAAAUACAUGUAAAAAAUCCUGAUCUUUCAUAAAUCUCUCAGAUAUUGGACAGACACUUCAGAACAAACUUCCUUUUGAUCUGUUGUUCCGUGUAGUGAAUCUAUUAUUCGAUGCAUUUGAAUAUGCUAAUAGCAGUAAGGUCCCCCAAAAAAUUCAUCCAAUCAUAUUUUUCUUCUGUUUUUUUUUUUAUUCUUCAAGGGGUCUUAAAAUUCAAAAAUCAAACAGCCAAAUGAUCCUUAGUAGAACCCCCACCCUCUGGCUUAGACAGGUUUUAAUAGGAAAGAGGAACCAAUUGUAGAUCGCAACAAAAUAUUUAUCUAUCACAUGCAGUAAGUUCCUCUGGAUAAGAGCGUCUGCUGAAUGACCAAAAUGUAAAUGUAAAAACAAAAACACUUGCAAAGCAUUCUGGAUAUUAUUCUAAUGAGCUCCGCCCCCAAACAAGUACAAAUUUGGCCGGUGCGGACCAGAUCCAAAUCUGAACGAAUCAUAGACGUCUAGGCUGUUUCACAAGUUUGAACAUCACAGUACAGUACGGCACAGUUUAGCACAGUAGAGUACGGUAGUUUUAUUCAGUCGAGUACAAUACAGUAGAGUUGAAUUAGAGUAGAGUACAGUAAUUCAGUACAUUAGAGUACACUACAGUAAAGUAUAGUUUAAUUCAGUACAAUACAUGUUAAUUCAGUAGAGUACAGUACAGUAUAGUUUAAUUCAGUAGAGUACAUGUUAAUUCAGUACAGUACAGUAUAGUUUAAUUCAGUAGAGUACAAUAGAGUACACUAUACUUUACUGUACUAAGUUACUGUACACUGCUGUCCAAACCUGUGAAACAUAGAUGUCUAUGAUUGGUUCAGAUUUGGUCCGGACCAAAAUUCAACAUCCCUGGGGGAUGAAAUUUAAAAAAUAUUUUUGAAAGACUGAGGACCGAAAAGAGAUGUCCAGAAGACAUCAAAACGCUUACUGGGAUGCUGUUUUAAGGGCAGUGGGGAUACAGGCCUAACAGUCAUAUUAUGCCAAUAAGUCCCUCCAAUGAUCUACUCUACUUAACCUAUACAGGUGCUCAUUCUCACAUAACCUACAGCAUACACAUUCACUAAGUUUAAUUCUCAUUGAUGGCAUGGCAGUAUUGAUCAAUCCAGAUCGGAGAUCUACCUGUAUCCCCCAUAUAAAAAGGUACUGUCCAUCUUGACUGUCUCCCAAACAAAAUCAACAAUAACCACAAACAUUCAUCCCACCACUCAAAAAUCACAAACCACCACUCCCCUUCCAGUAUCCUGAAGAAUACGUUUCCAUCCCCUACUUUCUCAUUUUAAUCAAGGACCCUUACCAUAAACCUGGUUGGUAGUUGGUAUCUUCUACCCAACCCUACCCUUUAAACCUAAACCAGGAUCAUAUCCUCUACCCAACCCUUCCCCUUGAACCAGGAUCAUAUCCUCUAUCCAACCCUUCCCCUUGAACCAGGAUCAUAUCCUCUACCCAACCCUUCCCCUUGAACCAGGUUAAUAUCCUCUAUCCAACCCUUCCCUUUAAACCAGGAUCAUAUCCUCUAUCCAACCCUUCCCUUUAAACCAGGUUAAUAUCCUCUAUCCAACCCUUCCCUUUAAACCAGGAUCAUAUCCUCUACCAAACCCUUCCCCUUGAACCAGGAUCAUAUCCUCUACCCCUUUGAACCAG